rnacentral:rRNA from 1 species
GUGGGGAAUCUUGCGCAAUGGGCGAAAGCCUGACGCAGCCAUGCCGCGUGAAUGAUGAAGGUCUUAGGAUUGUAAAAUUCUUUCACCGGGGACGAUAAUGACGGUACCCGGAGAAGAAGCCCCGGCUAACUUCGUGCCAGCAGCCGCGGUAAUACGAAGGGGGCUAGCGUUGCUCGGAAUUACUGGGCGUAAAGGGCGCGUAGGCGGACAGUUUAGUCAGAGGAGAAGGCCCAGGGCUCAACCUUGGAAUUGCCUUUGAUACUGGCUGUCUUGAGUACGGGAGAGGUGAGUGGAACUCCGAGUGUAGAGGUGAAAUUCGUAGAUAUUCGGAAGAACACCAGUGGCGAAGGCGACUCACUGGCCCGUUACUGACGCUGAGGCGCGAAAGCGUGGGGAGCAAACAGGAUUAGAAACCCCUGUAGUCC